rnacentral:rRNA from 1 species
AGUUUGAUCCUGGCUCAGAUUGACGCUGGCGGCAUGCCUUACACAUGCAAGUCGAACGGUAACAGGGACUUCGGUCUGCUGACGAGUGGCGAACGGGUGAGUAAUACAUCGGAACGUGCCCAAGAGUGGGGGAUAACGAGGCGAAAGCUUUGCUAAUACCGCAUACGAUCUCAGGAUGAAAGCAGGGGACCUUCGGGCCUUGCGCUCCUGGAGCGGCCGAUGGCAGAUUAGGUAGUUGGUGGGAUAAGAGCCUACCAAGCCUGCGAUCUGUAGCUGGUCUGAGAGGAUGAUCAGCCACACUGGGACUGAGACACGGCCCAGACUCCUACGGGAGGCAGCAGUGGGGAAUUUUGGACAAUGGGGGCAACCCUGAUCCAGCCAUGCCGCGUGCAGGACGAAGGCCUUCGGGUUGUAAACUGCUUUUGUACGGAACGAAAAGUCUUCGGUUAAUACCUGGGGAAACAUGACGGUACCGUAAGAAUA